UUUUGGGAAAAACAGCGCCGGAUGCAGCUUCCUCCAUCAGUGGGAACUUCACCUUCUCCGUAGCGCCGCUCGGUUCGGAUCAAUCAGCCGUAAGACGUUAAUUAAACGGUAACUAACGGGACUCUGGGCUAAAGGACUCACUUUUACCAUUAAGCACCGUAAUGAGGAGUGGAUGUUCCAGCGGAGAGACGAAGGUCAGCUCCGGUAAACAGAUGGAAGCAGAACUCCAUUAGCAUUCAGUUUAGUACAUGUGUUACAAGCUGCAACACAUCAGCAACCAGACUCUGAGGAGGCUUUCAGGGAACAGCUGGAUCUGACGGAACUGCGGGGUUCGGGUCUGAGAGCACUCUGAAGCCUCCAACCAGCAGAGCAGAGGACCAGAACCAGCCCUGGACACAGAUCAGCGCCAAACUGGAAGUUCUGCAGCCACUCAAACAGAAAUUCUCCUCGACCCGCUGCCUGGUUCUGGACUCUGGACGGGUUUCUGUGUGACACUGAGCCGAGGAGGAGUCUGGGAUUUGUAUGCAGAGCCGCUGAGACAGAGAGACCCUCCUGCUGCCUGCAGAACAAACUGACAAACAGAGGAUCAGAACCAGCAGAACCCGGUUCUCCACCCAUGUUUGUUCUGCUUCAACUUUUAUCUAUUUUAUUUAUUUUAUUUAUUUUUUUGUCCUCACUGUGGAUCUAAGCGGCAUUAAUUUAUCCACAAACUGAACUCACGGCUUUACAAAAUCACAUCAGCUCAUUUAACUAAUUUCUCCUGCUCUAAAUGCUUCUUAACAUUUAAAUAAAAUAAUAUAUUUUGUUUAUAAAUGAAAAUAAGAGAGAAGAAAUAAAGAUUUUGUAUGAAAUCAGUCAAUUUUGUUGUUCAUGAAGAGGUAAAAUAAAGAUAAGCUCCUUCUGGA